rnacentral:lncRNA from 1 species
GGAGAAGACACGCAUGCCCGAAGAGCCCUGCAGGGGAGCGGCUCCCUGAGCCAGGGCGGAGUGCGCAAGCGCAGACGGGGCCCCUGCAGAGGGGCUGAUGAGGAGGGGGCGGAGGGCGCUGGGCGUGGCUGAGGCUCCCCAGAGAAAAGCCGGUCUUCGGGCCGGGGAGACAGAGUGGGUGCCGGCACCCGGUCAGCAGUUGUCAGGCGCCACACUGGAGAGCACGGCGUGCGGUUGGGCAGGCUGUGUGCUCGGCCUCCCGACCCCAGCGCCCCCCGUGGGAGCGGGUCCGCUCCGCCCGCACUGCGGCCCUGGUCCGCGGGGCAGCGCCCCCUGGUGGGGUCGAGGCGAAGUUCACCUCUCAAGCUUCAGAGUUCUGUCUCCUGAGUGCCUCUGCCUGUGUAACCAUGGUGAGUUUGAUGAGGAGCACCUCGAAGGCCAAGAUGCAAUGCAGGUAGGGAUCUUCUGGGCCACUGAGAGGCCAGGAAGUGAGUGUAAUUAUGGGACUAGGAAAAUGAGUGGCUCAAAGCAGCUGGAGGAGGAAUAUCCCAAGAAAGAAGGAAAGGAGGGACGAGGAAAAGUUGAGCUAAUUGCACAAUUAGAGGUAGAGCUUGGCAAAACUUCUAAUCCUUCAGUUGGAUAAUUCUGUUUAUGUGCCGCAAACUUGUCAAAUAACAAGAAAAUGACACAGUAGGAGAUUAGAUUUUUAGAUGGAUAAAUUUAGUUUGAAAAACCUCCUCUGGAAGAUUCAAAUAAGGAGUACAGGACUACAUUAGAGAAUUCUACCAAACACUUCAAGAAUCACCAACAAGAUCUCACACACUCUCUCGAAGAACCAAAGAAUGGACAGCACGCCCGACUCAUUCUAUGUGACCGAUCUUUCCCUGCCACCAGACAAAGACAUGAAAAAACUGCAGAACAUUAUCCUCAUUAAAUAUCAAUACAAUAAUUCUGAACAAAAUACUACCACACUGAAUAUUACAGCACAUUUUAAAAACUAUUUAUGAGGCAGCAGCAAGUGGCAACUUGCUGUUUUGGCCUCUUUUUUUUUUUUCUAGUACAGAGGAUCGAACUCAGGACCUUGCAUUUGCGAGGCAGGGACAGUGUCGCUGAGCUAAAUCCCCAAUGUGAAAUAGGGAGAAAAGAUCCAGAGGGGAAGGGGAAGUUGGAAGAUUUGGGGAAAAGAGAUAAGGAAAUGGAAUUAGUAUGAGAAAAGGAAAAAAUGG